UUUUCCAACAAUUAUGGUGAUGUAUGGGAGAGGUAAGCAAUGAUGCAACUCUCCUUAGUGAGAUAAGCAAUGAUGCAAUGAGUGGUAGGUGAGAUUUGCACUUUUGGUCCCUAUCUCAAAACUAUAAAUACCCCCUUCCAUUUCAUUGUAUAACACACCAAAAAAAAAUAUAUCAAAACUCAAGAAGAAAGAGUUUGAGAGGGAGAGAGAUAUAGUUCCUUUAGGAAUGUUUCCUAACAGGGGAGUGACAAAAUAGUGA